rnacentral:pre_miRNA from 1 species
AAGUGUGAUUGCCUGUGAGUAUUACAUCAGGUACUGGUUGAUUAGAUUUAAUCCAGUACUUAAUGUGAGACUCAUCGACAGUUACACUC